rnacentral:rRNA from 1 species
AUGAACGCUGGCGGCGUGCUUCACACCUGCAAGUCGCACGGAAAGGCUCCUGCUUGCAGGGGUACUCGAGUGGCGAACGGGUGAGUAACACGUGGGUGAUCUGCCCUGCACUUCGGGAUAAGCCUGGGAAACUGGGUCUAAUACCGGAUAGGACGAUGGUUUGGAUGCCAUUGUGGAAAGUUUUUUCGGUGUGGGAUGAGCUCGCGGCCUAUCAGCUUGUUGGUGGGGUAAUGGCCUACCAAGGCGUCGACGGGUAGCCGGCCUGAGAGGGUGUACGGCCACAUUGGGACUGAGAUACGGCCCAGACUCCUACGGGAGGCAGCAGUGGGGAAUAUUGCACAAUGGGCGCAAGCCUGAUGCAGCGACGCCGCGUGGGGGAUGACGGCCUUCGGGUUGUAAACUCCUUUCGCUAGGGACGAAGCGCAAGUGACGGUACCUGGAGAAGAAGCACCGGCUAACUACGUG